AGCCCUGCAGUAUGAGUAUACAUAGGAUUGCAAGUCCUGAAAAGGAGAAUAGGCUUCUCCCGGGGCUU
rnacentral:tRNA from 1 species